GACCGCUCCGGUGGUCUAAGUGGUUAGAGCGUUUGACUCGGAUGCGGGAGGUCGCGGGUUCAAGUCCCGACCGAGUCA